CCCUUAGACGUUCUGGGCCGCACGCGCGCUACACUGACGAAGGCAACGAGCUUUCCUUUACCGAAAGGUACGGGUAAUCUUUUGAAACUUCGUCGUGCUGGGGAUAGAUCCUUGCAAUUUUUGAUCUUAAACGAGGAAUGCCUAGUAAGCGCAAGUCAUCAACUUGCGUUGAUUACGUCCCUGCCCUUUGUACACACCGCCCGUCGCUACUACCGAUUGAAUGGUUUAGUGAGGCCUUCGGAUCCGCGACUCGUUUGUGGAGAAGUUGGACAAACUCAGUCAUUUAGAGGAAGGAGAAGUCGUAACA
rnacentral:rRNA from 1 species